rnacentral:rRNA from 1 species
GACGAACCGUGCGAACGUUGUUCGGAUUCACUGGGCUUAAAGGGCGCGUAGGCGGGCGUGCGAGUCAGGGGUGAAAUCCCCCGGCCCAACCGGGGGACUGCCCCUGAGACCGCACGCCUCGAGGGGGGUAGGGGCACGCGGAACUUCCGGUGGAGCGGUGAAAUGCGUAGAGAUCGGAAGGAACGCCGGUGGCGAAAGCGGCGUGCUGGGCCCCUUCUGACGCUGAGGCGCGAAAGCCAGGGGAGCGAACGGGAUUAGAAACCCCAGUAGUCC